rnacentral:rRNA from 1 species
GCAUAUCAAUAAGCGGAGGAAAAGAAACCAACCGGGAUUGCCUUAGUAACGGCGAGUGAAGCGGCAAAAGCUCAAAUUUGAAAUCUGGUACCUUUGGUGCCCGAGUUGUAAUUUGGAGAGGGCAACUUUGGGACCGUUCCUUGUCUAUGUUCCUUGGAACAGGACGUCAUAGAGGGUGAGAAUCCCGUGUGGCGAGGAGUGCGGUUCUAUGUAAAGUGCCUUCGAAGAGUCGAGUUGUUUGGGAAUGCAGCUCUAAGUGGGUGGUAAAUUCCAUCUAAAGCUAAAUAUUGGCGAGAGACCGAUAGCGAACAAGUACAGUGAUGGAAAGAUGAAAAGAACUUUGAAAAGAGAGUGAAAAAGUACGUGAAAUUGUUGAAAGGGAAGGGCAUUUGAUCAGACAUGGUGUUUUGCGCCCUCUGCUCCUUGUGGGUAGGGGAAUCUCGCAUUUCACUGGGCCAGCAUCAGUUUUGGUGGCAGGAUAAAUCCGUAGGAAUGUAACUUGCUUCGGGAAGUAUUAUAGCCUGCGGGAAUACUGCCAGCUGGGACUGAGGACUGCGACGUAAGUCAAGGAUGCUGGCAUAAUGGUUAUAUGCCGCCCGUCUUGAAACACGGACCAAGGAGUCUAACGUCUAUGCGAGUGUUUGGGUGUAAAACCCAUACGCGUAAUGAAAGUGAACGUAGGUUGGGGCCUCGCAAGAGGUGCACAAUCGACCGAUCCUGAUGUCUUCGGAUGGAUUUGAGUAAGAGCAUAGCUGUUGGGACCCGAAAGAUGGUGAACUAUGCCUGAAUAGGGUGAAGCCAGAGGAAACUCUGGUGGAGGCUCGUAGCGGUUACUGACGUGCAAAUCGAUCGUCGAAUUUGGGUAUAGGGGGCGAAAGACUAAUCGAACCAUCUAGUAGCUGGUUCCUGCCGAAGU